AUUGAACGCUGGCGGAAUGCUUUACACAUGCAAGUCGAACGGCAGCACGGGGGGAAGCCCUGGUGGCGAGGGGCGAACGGGUGAGUAAUACAUCGGAACGUGCCCGGUCGUGGGGGAUAACGUAGCGAAAGUUACGCUAAUACCGCAUACGAUCGGAGGUUGAAAGCGGGGGCCCUUCGGGCCUCGCGCGAUCGGAGCGGCCGAUGUCAGAUUAGGUAGUUGGUGGGGUAAAGGCCUACCAAGCCGACGAUCUGUAGCUGGUCUGAGAGGACGACCAGCCACACUGGGACUGAGACACGGCCCAGACUCCUACGGGAGGCAGCAGUGGGGAAUUUUGGACAAUGGGCGCAAGCCUGAUCCAGCCAUUCCGCGUGCAGGACGAAGGCCUUCGGGUUGUAAACUGCUUUUGUACGGAACGAAAAGGCUCUGGCUAAUACCUGGGGCUCAUGACGGUACCGUAAGAAUAAGCACCGGCUAACUACGUG
rnacentral:rRNA from 1 species